rnacentral:misc_RNA from 1 species
GGCACGUUUUCCUCUUCCCCUCUUCCCUUCCCCUCCCCUCCAGCGGGUACCCGGGGAGAGACGCCGGCGGCCGGCCCGACGCUGCCAGCCAGUUGCUGUCUCGAUCUUGUGACGGAAAGACGUGUUUUUCUUAGACCUGAAACUAAACCUUUGCUAUGGAAACUUAUUAAUAUACCAGUGAUCUCCAGGAUGUAUCAUCAUUGCAAAAGACGACAUUGAACUACAAAUUGGAAAUCGUCCCGUCUUUUAAACUGGAAAUGACAGGCAGGAUACAGAGGCAUGAAGAACUUCCUUCCCACUGACGUCAUUAUGAGGCUGCGCCACUGAUCCUCGCCGCCAGGUCAGGUCGUGCCCGCGGUCGUCCCGAACCGCCAUGAUGGUCGCCAAGAUGAAGAGGGGACCCUGCUGCGGCGUGGCGCUGCUCGCCUCCUUCUGCAUCGUCUACGCCGCCGUUGGCACGUGGCCAAGGAAGAGCGCAACGGAAGUGCCGAUCACAGAACAGGUUCCUGUGGAGGCUGAGGUAGUUCCGGAGAAGCGCGCGUUCGUGAACUUUCCUCGGCCGUCUGAGACUCUGAGCGAGAGCCUCCCCUUCCACUACUUCGACUCCUCGCAGAGCUACCAGACGGAGGGCGUGACCGGCCGCGCCCUUUCGCGCCACGAGCUCGAACUCCUGCAGCCCGUGAAGGAGGCGGCGACGCAGCACCUCCGCCAGCUCCACCCACAGGCCGCCUUCGUCAACGGCAGGUACCGUUGGCUCCCCAGCGGCGCUGAGUUCGACCUGUACUUCGAGGAUUCUUCGGCCGGAGUCAGUAGCAGGAUCACCUUGUACCAGAAACUCGAAGGCCCGAAGGUCAUCAACGCCUUCGCCGUCGACCAGCACGCGCAAGUGAACAUUAUUGUGCCCUUAAAGGGACAUGUAUCCAAGUAUACUACAUUCUUGGACCAUUUAGUGAGGAAUGUUGUGCCACAUGACCCCAACCUCUCCCUGACUGUGGUCUACUUUAGUGAUUCAUAUAUUUCUGAAGUACGGAACCUCACCACAAAGAGACUUGAGGGCUUACCAGAUUUCAAGUGGUCUUUCAUUCCUGUGGAUGAGAAGGAAUUUUCACGGGGUCAUGGCUUGCAUAUUGGAGCCCAAAACACAGAAAUGAAGGACAAAGGAGAGCUUCUGUUUUUCUGUGAUGUUGAUGUUCUCAUGCACCAUGAUUUCUUCACCCGUUGCAGAAGCAAUACAAAGAAAGGAUAUCAGGUUUACUAUCCUGUUGUGUUCUCACUCUACAACCCUAAGUUAGUAUAUCCACUCUUUGACAAGAGUAUACCUCCCAUAAGUGAACAGCUGGUUGUAGAAGUACAAUCAGGGUUCUGGCGUACAUUUGGGUUUGGGAUGGCCUGUAUGUAUCGCUCAGAUUAUGAAAUAUCUGGAGGUUUCCCAGAUAUACGCAGUUGGGGAGGAGAAGAUGUGGCCCUUUAUGAAAAGUUCCUCAAAAUGAAAGAUAUCAAGGUAAUCCGUGCUCCAGAUCCAAGUUUAUUCCACCUGUAUCAUCGUAAAGUAUGCUCAGACACCAACAGUGUGUCUUACCCAGCUUGCUUGAAAUCCAAAGCAGUGACAGAAGGAUCCCAACUCCAGCUCGGCCUGUCUUUAAUUAAGCUCCAUGAAGGAAUCGAUCUUGAGGGUAUUUUGUCUAAAAGACAAUCUUGCUAUAAGUAGAAGUUGUCUGUCUGAUCUGUGUGGCUGUUUUCUCUUAAGCUGAACCUUAAGGAAAAAUGACCAGAUGCGCAGUAGGACCUCGGUGGUUCUAUUACUUCUGGCUUAUUCCCUAUCUUGGAGGUCUUCUCAUACUGUCCCUUCUCAUCAACUUGGUCCAAGCCAUUGUUAUUCUUAAUAGACGAUCACAGAAUUAUAGGAAAAUGUAGUUUCAUUAUAAAAUUU